UUUGGUCUAACCUUAGCUUGAGAGAUUAUGAGUUGUGUCCUAUUUGCUAUGUGUUAUUUGUCGAGUACGACGUAUAUGCAUGGUGAUGAGUAUCUAUACGUUGGUGUAAAGCAUGCCCGUGAGUCUUAAAUUGAAAUCGUUGUGUUCUUAAUAAAUACUGCGAAUGCCUAAGUUGUUGAUUCACUUGUUGGGCAAGAAUUAUGAUUAUUCUCGUGAAAAUUGCUUAUGGUUGAGUAUUGGUGCUAGUUGAGGUUUCUUUUGUGAAGUUAAAUGUUAGAACAAGUUAGGUUAUAGCUGAUUCCCUUGCCGAGACGUAUUUACUUAUUCUGUCGAUUCCCUUGCCGGGAUAGUAUUGGUUCCUUAUUGUUCCCUUGCCGGGACUCUUUCAUGAUUGGUGCUGAACAUUAUAUUUGGAUCGCGUUGCAUACCGCAAAAUAUUAUAAUUGGAUCGGUUGCACGCCGCAACAACAUUAUAAUUGGAUCGGGUUGCAUGCCGCAACAGUAUUUUUAUGAUUUGGAUCGGGUUGUGCGCCGCAACAAUAAAUGAUAAAAGUGGUUAUUGAUUGGUUACGGUUUCCUUAUUCUUUCUGCCGCGAAUUUUAAACUGUACUUAUGUUUUUCUCCUGCGUUACUGUUGGUAAAAUGAUAUUUCCCCGCAGCAUGUCCCAUCCUUACUUGUAUUUUUCUGUUUUAUUUUUCGUUGUAUAUGGUAUAACUACACAGGUUUAUUUGGUAGUCUGGUCGUAGCCUCGUCACUACUUCGUCAGGGUUAGGCUAGGCACUUACCAGCAUAUGGGGUCGGUUGUGCUGAUACUACACUCUGCACCGUGUGCAGAUCCCGAAGCAGCAACAUUUGGACCUUAGUUUGGGUGGCUGCCUUCAGUCCAGUUGGAGAUUCCGAGGUAGUCCUGCAGGCGUCCGCAGGCCCUGGCGUCUCCUUCUAUCCCUUUAUCCUGUUUCAUUUACAUAUUUUAGAAAUAGUGUAUCAUUUAUUUUUCAGAUCUUGUUUGUAGUAAUUCUAGACUGUUUAUGAAGCGUGACACCAGUUCUGGGUAGAUUUUAUUUAAGAUGUUGUGUUGGAUAUAUAUAUUCAAAUGGUUUUAUUGAUUCUUCCGCUUGUUUAAAACUUCGCUGCUUAUAAGCUAUUAUUUCAUAAUUGUAAAGGAUUAAAAAUGGGAAAAAGGGAUAAUUUGUUCAAACUGUUAGCUUGUCUAACUUUCAUUAGUAGGCGCCAUCACGACUCCCGAGGGUGGAAAAUCUGGGUCAUGACAUCAACACACAAAAGACUCGAGGUCGUUCCCACCUAAUAAAAGAAAAAUAAAAUACUAUGAGUUCUACUUUCGGCCUCCAAAUACAAAUACUUCGGGGCAUAACCCAGAUAAAAAUAUAUACAGAGUCUAUGGGACAUUCCCCUAAAUAUAAACUAAAGGGAACGACCUCUCACCUUGGAUAAAAUAAUAGAAAGGCCUUAAAGUUUGCCUACCCAAUUGUGGUCGACCUAAGCAUGCUCCUAGCGAUUGAGAAAAAUAGAAAUAAAAUUAAACUAAAGUAAAUAAAACUCAUUUCUUUUUCACCUUCUUUUAACUCUUCAUUUCAUGUAUUUGACCCACCUCAAUUUCUAAAACGCGCGAGCAAUUUGAAUCACUAAUGGGAUAGGCCUCUACCAAACUCCAAGGCUCAAUGCCACAUAAACAUGCCACAGAAUAACUGUGAAGAGCAAAUAAACAUCCAAACAUAGGAAGUGAACAAACAAACAAGAGGAAAGGUAGGUAAUAAGACAAAAGAAAUGGUGGAUUGAAAUAUGAUAAGAGCUUUAAAACUUCUCCUUAAUCUCAUCCCUGUACCCACAUCUCCUAAUUUUCUUAAAACCAAAUAAACUCCAAACAACAUCUAACAAAUAAUCCAAGCUAAAAUCAAAUAAGCUUCAAACAACAUUUAAUAGAUAAUUCUACGAUUGAUUAAGCCUGCAGAACUCAACAACAAACAUUGAAUUUAAUUCUUCACUUCUUAUGAUCUGACUAACUCAAACUGAUGAUCCAAAAUUCCCACACAAAUGCCAGCAGUGAUAAAUUAGCAUUCCCACCACAACAUAUUAAACUAGUCAAGGUAGAAAGGGAAAAUUCCAACAUGAGAUCAAAUUCGGCGCGAAGCAACAUGAUAAGCUCAUGACUACUAAAUAGUAAGGUUUUAAAUGAGUUAGGAUUCAACAACCAAGAAGAAAACAAUUUCAAGGGAGUGAGGAUUAGGUACACAAGACUAGAUUAACUAAAAAGAAGACGAAGGGCAAUGCAUUCUGCUAGAACCACAACAAGAUUUAUGAAAUAGGCACAGAGCUCCAACUAAUAGCCAGAAGAACUAAUUUUAUAACCAGGCAAACAAACAGGAGCAAGGGAAACUAAUAAUCACUCAAUUGAACAUCAAUAUAUCCUACAGGAAAGAAACAAAAAUAUGAAAAUGCACCAGAAAUCUUUAUGCACCAAAGAACUGUCCCAAAACGCGUGGUGGAGUGUCGUUAUCCUAUACAAAUGGAAGCUAAAUAAACUGAUUUGGAAUUAAUUGAAGGCGUUGGAACUAUAUGAACUGAUUUUUUGCACCUAAAUUCUAGAAGAUCAGCAUUACAAACUCAAGAAAUCAAAAGCAAAGAUUUGACCAUUUCUGAACUUAACGGGGAUAUCAGACCCUCAUUUGAAGGGAAUGAUCACACUUAAGCCCCCACAAAAAUUGAAGCAAAUGGGAUGAAAUAGAGACAUACUAAUCUGGAUUGUAGCGACUUGAACAAUGAUAGUUAUGGCUUAAGUAUCGAUUUUAUUACUCAGACAGCACAAAAUAAUAAGAACAAAACUCGAAUAUUUCCAUCAAGAGCAGAACUACAUUUGAAACACAUAUUCAAACACAAAUCCAUUCAAAACUGUCUAUUAAGCACAUAUAAACUCAUUCUAUACCCUUAAGAUGUUGUAGACACUAAUGAAUCCCAAACGACCACCAUAGCUCUUAUCAUAUUUCAAACAACCCCAAAAUAGAUUAAGAAAGAUUAGAGAUAAACCUGAAUCAGCAGACACUUUUAAUUAACUUUGCUCGAACGCUAAAUACACGUGAAAUCCAGCAGCGAAGAUCAAAACCAACAGCAACAAAAAAAAACAGGAAUCCCGAGCCACAGACGACCCUCAAGUUAGCGACUCGAUCACUUGAACCUCGGGCAUCAACGACUUCAACAACCUUGGCUCGACUCCAUUUACUAACAUAGAUUGAAGAUGAAACUGAAAUCCGACUCUACACUCACUAGAAAACAGAAACGUAAAAGGAAUCUUUUGAAAUGACCUAAAAUCUAAAAUCAAACUCGAAGAUGAGAAGAAGCUCAAUUUUCUUCUCCAAAUCUUAGAGCAGAGAAGAAGAGCCCCUUUUAAAAACCCCUAAUUCUCCUCCCAAACCCACAAAUAUAUACUCCAUCUCGAAACUUCUAUACUUGUCUUCCAAGAAAACCCAAAAAUCUUCCAAACACAUCCAAAAUUCGGUUUUUUGAUCAGUAAAGGACAAGUGGAGGGAGUAGAUUGUGUUUAACUCAAUUCUAUGCCCCCAAUUAAUCCUAAUCUAGUCUUCAAAUGAAAUUCGGGUGAGAUGAGCGUAUGAGAGAGAGGCGGCCUCGAUUUGUCAGAGUUUGUUACGGAUUCAGCUGACGUGGAAGGAAUAUGAGGGGAGGGGACCAUGGAGGGUUCGUUUAUGUUGGGGUUUGGGUUGGGUUAAGGUGGGAGAAGGGUUUGAGGGAGAAUAGGAGUGCGGCUGAGGUCUUUGGG
rnacentral:lncRNA from 1 species